GUCUAUGGCCAUAUCACCCUGAAUGUGCCUGAUCUUGUCUGAUCUCAGAAGCUAAGCAGAGUUGGGCCUGGUUAGUGCUUGGAUGAGAGAUAUACUGGCCAAAAGAUA
ensembl:rRNA 5S_rRNA 5S ribosomal RNA